UGCAAGUCGAACGAAGUAGCAAUACUUAGUGGCAGACGGGUGAGUAACAUGUGGGUAUCUUCCCUUUGGUGAGGAAUAACACGAGGAAACUUGUGCUAAUACUUCAUAAGUCUUUACGGAGAAAGCUUUAUGCGCCAUUGGAUGAGCCCGCACUUGAUUAGUUUGUUGGUGGGGUAAUGGCCUACCAAGACAAUGAUCAAUAGCUGAUUUGAGAGGAUGAUCAGCCACAUUGGGACUGAGACACGGCCCAAACUUCUACGGAAGGCAGCAGUAGGGAAUCUUGCACAAUGGAGGAAACUCUGAUGCAGCGAUGCCGCGUGAGUGAAGAAGGCCUUUGGGUUGUAAAGCUCUUUCGUCGGGGAAGAAAAUGACUGUACCCGAAUAAGAAGGUCCGGCUAACUUCGUGCCAGCAGCCGCGGUAAUACGAAGGGACCUAGCGUAGUUCGGAAUUACUGGGCUUAAAGAGUUCGUAGGUGGUUAAAAAAGUUGGUGGUGAAAUCCCAGAGCUUAACUCUGGAACUGCCAUCAAAACUUUUUAGCUAGAGUAUGAUAGAGGAAAGCAGAAUUUCUAGUGUAGAGGUGAAAUUCGUAGAUAUUAGAAAGAAUACCAAUUGCGAAGGCAGCUUUCUGGAUCAUUACUGACACUGAGGAACGAAAGCAUGGGUAGCGAAGAGGAUUAGAUACCCUCGUAGUCCAUGCCGUAAACGAUGUGUGUUAGACGUUGGAAAUUUAUUUUCAGUGUCGCAGCGAAAGCAAUAAACACACCGCCC
rnacentral:rRNA from 1 species